AGGACACCUUGCAAACUCCUACCUAAGAGGUUUAAAGUGAAUUCAGCAGCAGAAACAAGUUUAUUUGUGACUGGGAAAAUAGUUUUGCAGUCAAAGUAAUGGAAAGCCAAAUACACAGUCAGUACAAUUCAAAACAAAAUGAUGUAUACAUUUAGAAAGUGCAAAUUAUUUACGAACAGAUCCUAGUUUUUAGGUCCAUUUAUUGAUUUCAUAUAAUUCCUACAUUCUUGGCUGUACAGGAAUGCACCUCUUAUACCUUCUGAAGUGCCUCAUGGAACAAUAAAAUAUCCGCUGAAAGUCUAUUUAUGAGUAAUUUACUCAAUGUUGUUUUGAGAAAACGGAUCGUACACGUUCUAACACUCUUAUUCUUCAGAAACCUGUUAAACCAGAGGGAGCUGUGUAAGUAACGCAUUGGAAUCUGUGGAUGAAGAUGGUGCCCGGUGCUCAUCUUCAAUAAGCGUACUUACGCUGAUCAGCCACAAAGCAACACAGACAGACAUGCAUCGCACACACACAGAAAAAGAGAAAACUAUCUAUAUAUAUUACCUUUUGUAGAAAUACUUUAAUCAAAUGUAUCAAUAGUUUAGUAUAGUUCCAAAAAGCCUCUCUUGUCAUUAAUCAGAAUAACAAAGAAUGUGUCUUUGCACGUGUUAGAGUUAACGACCACUUGGUAAUUUGUAUUUCUCUAUGACCGCGUCAGCGUGAGGACAUGUGAACGGGUCCCUUGUUGUUCUCACACAGAUGAGCUGCGUCUUUGUUGGGCCGUCCGGCUCACAGCUUCUCCGGUGAUGAGUUCCUCCGCAUGCAUCCAGCCUCCCUCAGUGGAAGAGGACCCCCACCAACUCCACCUCAUAAUUACCGCUAAUCUGGACAAUGAAGCUCACAUGAUUACCAUAUUAAUGGUCUUGAUGGUGAUGCAGAUAAUCCAUGGGGGGGUUCUAUGAAGGAGCAGGAGCCGGACUGUUGACAAGAACAAAACUUAACCCGUUUCAAUACUUCAUUAGCCUCUUUCUCCUUCGACGCUCUCAUUCACUCCGUUUCUCUCCUCUCUCCCUCUGCCAGGAGGCAGGAGGGUUCAGGAGGAAGGCGCUGACGCUCCACCUGCUGGCUCCCUGUGGCCGGGUGAUUGGGAGGCAUUUCUUUCUCCCUAUUCUUGAUAUUACUCCAGCUGUCUUGUUGCUCCACGUGCUUGGAUUUUAAAGGGAAGUGGUUGUUGAAGACAUAAGGCAGAUUUGUUGUGGUGCUCGUCCUCGCCCCUGAAGGAGAGGAAGAGGCGUCUGACUGCAGAGACACUGGCAUGGUGUCAGGAGACAGGCCUCAUUACCUGGGCGUAACCGGAGAUAGAGAACAAUGCCUCACCAGCCUGACCUGUGACCUUUUGCAGCCUGCCCUGUGACCUGCUGCCCAGGUACCAUCAGAAGAGGGCACGGAGGAUAGAAAACCAUGUGAUCGUUAGUGGAGUGGACUUCCUCUAUCACUAAGCAAGGUGGAGCGUGCUGCGGCCUGCAAGCAGGACCUUGUUUCAUGAGUGGCAACUGUUGUAGGGAUUAUGAGGGAAUACAAUAUCCACCUGGUUGGAUUUGAGUCAAAUCCCCCCCCACACACCAGGACAGAAAUAAACUCCAAUACUGUACUAAAGUACAAUUUUGAUGGUACUUUACUCGACUAUUAUAAUGUUAUUGCUAAAAAUAUAACAUACAUACCAAACAAUUGUGUGUAUAAAUCCAAUAAGUCAAUGUUUAACAAAACAAGUCACAGAAGUCCUUUUUCUGUGCAAUGUUUAUUUUUACACGGUACAUUUUGUGAUAAUACUUCUGAUAAUUAUCACAAUGUGUUUAUGUGAUAAACAAUGCAAUAGAAUAAAGCCACUUGAG
ensembl:lncRNA